UAUUCUCAACCUUCAAAGCUUUUGCAAUGGAGGCUUGGAUUUGGAGGCUGUGUUGGCGCAAGUCAACUCCUCUUAAAUGCAUUAGUGUGAACCUUACGGAUCGCCUUCAGUGUGAUAAUUGUCUACGCUGUGGUGUUGAAGUAUAUUCGAGUUCAUGCUUCUAAUCGUCCGCAUGGACAACUUUACUUGACA
rnacentral:misc_RNA from 1 species